GGUUCCAUAGUGUAGCAGCAGUUAGCACAUCUGCUUUACAUGCAGAAGGUCCUGAGUUCACGCCCCAGUGAAGUCA
rnacentral:tRNA from 1 species